UGGGAGUGGAGGUGGUGGAAUGGCAAAAUUUCUCCUUGGUUGAAAGCCACUGAUCCAAACCAUCUCAUUUUACAAAUGAUGGAGCUGAGGUCCAAAGAGAUGAAGUAACUUGUUUAAGCUAGUUAGCAAAGCCAAGAUUAGAAUCCAGGUUAUUCACGCAAUAUCCUUUUAUUUCUAUAACGUACAGGGCACGAUAUGGAACUCAGAGGAAGUCACUGCAGUCCUUGUCCUCACAGUCUGGUAGGGGAGAGAAUCUAUUGCACAGAUAUCUCUAUCUCCACGAAGUUGGAUUUAACUAAGGUUCAGUUUCAUCAUCAAUGAAAUGGAGAUCAUGGUAUCUACUUAUAUCACCAGUUUGAAACGGGUCUGUGGAUGCAUUGUGCAAACUCUAAAGCUCUUACAAACAUCGGGUAUUAUUACUAACUUCAUUAGGAAUGUGAGUUAUAUUAGAGUAAAAGCUCUCAGAACUGGGGUGAACCAUAGAGGGGUGGCUUCAUUCCUCGACCUUCCAAUUUGAGACAUUUUUUCUUCUGCGGGAGGGGAAGCAGGCAAAUAGCCUGCCUCUCACAGAGUGCCCAUUCCCUCUCCGGGAACCAAGGUGCUCAGGCGAGUAAACUCAGGACUUAACUCUGUACAACUAGUACCGCAAGCAGGAGCCACUCCCUGGCCUUCGGGUCUCUCAAGCCCCGCCUGCUCCAGGAUACGGCCCCGCCCAGAAAGGAGACAGACCCCGCCCCCCCCGCGCUGCCCCGCACUCCAGCCGCGCUGUGCCUCCAGGACAAUCCCAGGCCCGUGCCGGAGAUUCCCGAGCUUCCCCGAUCGCUUCCCGGCCUCCCUCGGGCAGCCAGCGAG
rnacentral:lncRNA from 1 species